UGCGUAGGCGGAAUAUUAAGUCAGUGGUGAAAUCCUGCGGCUCAACCGUAGAACUGCCAUUGAUACUGAUAUUCUUGAAUGUAGUUGAGGUAGGCGGAAUGUGUAAUGUAGCGGUGAAAUGCUUAGAUAUUACACAGAACACCGAUUGCGAGGGCAGCUUACUAAACUAUGAUUGACGCUGAGGCACGAAAGCGUGGGGAGCGAACAGGAUUAGAUACCCUGGUAGUC
rnacentral:rRNA from 1 species